UACGUAGGGGGCAAGCGUUGUCCGGAAUUACUGGGCGUAAAGGGCUCGUAGGCGGCCAACUAAGUCAGACGUGAAAUCCCUCAGCUUAACUGGGGAACUGCGUCUGAUACUGGAUGGCUUGGAUUGGGAGAGGAAUGCGGAAUUCCAGGUGUAGCGGUGAAAUGCGUAGAUAUCUGGAGGAACACCGGUGGCGAAGGCGGCAUUCUGGACCAAUAUUGACGCUGAGGAGCGAAAGCCAGGGAGCAACGGG
rnacentral:rRNA from 1 species